rnacentral:misc_RNA from 1 species
GAUGAAGAACGUAGCGAAAUGCGAUAAGUAAUGCGAAUUGCAGAAUCCGUGAGUCAUCGAAUCUUUGAACGCACAUUGCGCCCCCUGGUAUUCCGGGGGGCAUGCCUGUUCGAGCGUCAUUACAACCCUCAAGCUCUGCUUGGUAUUGGGCCCCGCCAGUUCUGGCGGGCCCUAAAGUCAGUGGCGGUGCCUUCCGGCUCCGAGCGUAGUAAUUCUUCUCGCUCUGGAGACCCGGUUGUGUGCUUGCCAACAACCCCCAAUUUUUUAAGGUUGACCUCGGAUCAGGUAGGGAUACCCGCUGAACUUAAGCAUAUCAAUAAGCGGAGGA